UGAGAACGAAGCUAUCGAGAGCUAUUUCUUUCUUUCGCGAGUGAAAAUUACGUGUUUAACGCCCGAGGAAGAGUGUUGCUCUUGAGAAAGCCAGCUUAAGAAUCGACAGGAAGACGCGAGCGGAGAGGCUCGAGUUAUUCCUUUCUGGAUCGUGUGCCGUCACUCCAACGAAACUGACAAGCAAUUCUACCUUAUUGGAUCACAUGAGAAAUACGACGAGGAGGGAAGAAGGGAAAGGAUUGCCCUCCUCGCGGCAAAGAAGAAUCUUGGGAUAGAGUCGAACGUGGUGGUAUCGGUUAUAUUACUACCGCUUUUAACGAACCUUGUACAAUGGGGCACGAAAGAAGAGCAAUUUCGUGUAUCCGUACGGAUCUGGAUAGAAGAAAAUACGAGGCGCAUAGAUUUCUUCACG